rnacentral:lncRNA from 1 species
CACAGAGGACCAUUGUUUUAAUGAAGUGCUGGAGACUGUGACCAAAGCAUUUUUAAACUCAGCACUUAAAAACUGAGCACAUCUACCCACAUUAUCUAAAUGAUAAUGCUGAGCCAUCCUGAUUGACUGCUGCAAGUCAAAGGAAGCUGCUUUUGAAAAAUACCAUUCGUUUUCAAGAUGGAGCCACUACUGAUAAUGUACUCUGCUACCAUUUUAGAUAGCAGAACUGCAAUCUGGAUCCAGAUACAUUCAGUGGUGAGGUGUAGGUUGCAGGUCAGCACGGUGCAGGUCAGCCACUUACUCUCAUGUAGGAGCAACGUGACAGCACCAAGUCCUGACACCUCUGACUGCCCAGGUUGAAUGACCAGGGAUCGGGUCACAAGCAAAGUGACUGGCAGAGGCUCUCACCAUCAAUCUGGAAUGAGCUCACAGUCCUGCUGUUGAUAGAAGGAUUGCUUUUGAAAACUUUCCAGCCUUGUCAUGCAUAGCUGCAUUACGUUAUCUCAGUAUCGGCAGUAUUCCCCGAACUACACUUAAGCUGGUAUAAGAGGGAUUGUUGUUUCUUGUGGACCUAAAGAAUCUGUCUGGCUGCUUGGGGAUUCAUAGGGAUUUUAUGGACUUCCUGUGUGAGCCAGGGGCUGCCCAUCAGCCUGAAGUGCUGCUCAGAUCUCUCUCACUGCAAGAAACCUUCCCUUCUUCUGCUAUUCAUCAUAGCAAUUUCACAGGCUCUCUUCAGCUGUUCUCUCCAUGGGUUGGUGAAGCUGGUAUGGUUAUUAUCUUCUCUAUCCUGUACAAAGUAAGAAAAAAAAGAUUAUUUAUGGAUAACACUGCAGACCACCCAUAA